GAAGCAGUGGCUUGAUGAGUCAGACAUGAGUCAUCUUCUGGUAAAACAAAUCCAACAUACCUCUCUCUCCACCCUUCGCAUCUAACCAAUCUCUCUCUCGCAACCGCAACACAGACAGCUGGAUCCACCACCACGCGCGCACCUCCACUCUACCUUUCUCUACGCGCCGACAUCAUCUUCCUUCCGCCUCUCAGAUCCGCUCCUUCUCCUAACUCCACACAGUUGCGAGCUGCUUCAAACUCAGUUUCAACUCCGUCCAAGUAAGAACUGAGUUUGGUAAAUAAAGAAAGAAAGAAAUGGUGGUAUGAAGAUAUAGCAAGGGUUGUUUGUUUACAAGUGGAAAAAUAGGGUUUUGGUGUUUUUAACUGUAGAAUUAUGGCGAUGGAGAGUGGGAGCUGGAAAGAGUCGUACAAGGGGAUGUCGGCUGAUAAUAUUAAGGGAUUAGUGUUGGCACUGUCUUCCAGCGUCUUUAUUGGUGCCAGUUUCAUUGUCAAGAAGAAGGGCUUGAAGAAAGCUGGGGCCUCCGGUAUCAGGGCAGGAAGUGGAGGUUAUACUUACUUAUAUGAACCGCUCUGGUGGGUGGGCAUGAUAACAAUGAUUGUUGGGGAAAUUGCUAAUUUUGCAGCUUAUGCGUUUGCACCAGCUAUCCUGGUCACUCCUCUUGGUGCUCUCAGCAUUAUUAUAAGUGCUGCUCUUGCACAUAUCAUAUUACGAGAGAAAUUGCAUAUUUUUGGAAUUCUUGGUUGUGUUCUUUGUGUUGUGGGUUCUACAACAAUUGUGCUGCAUGCUCCUCAAGAACGUGAGAUUGAAUCCGUGAAAGAAGUUUGGGAUCUCGCUACAGAGCCUGCCUUUCUGUUCUAUGCUGCUUUGGUCAUAGCAGCUGUAUUCAUUCUCAUAUUCCACUUUAUCCCUGACUAUGGCCAGACGCAUAUAAUGGUUUACAUUGGUGUUUGUUCUCUCGUAGGCUCCUUGUCGGUCAUGAGUGUUAAAGCACUUGGAAUUGCGUUGAAGCUGACACUGUCAGGAACGAAUCAGCUAAUAUAUCCGCAAACAUGGGUCUUUGCCUUUGUUGUAAUUACUUGUGUGCUUACCCAAAUGAAUUAUUUGAACAAGUUGAAGGGGAGCAUGUAGAGUGAAGAGCAUAUAUCUUACAAACUUGGCUGAGGGACUGUCUCGCUAUCAGGCAUCAUUCGUGUAACUGAUCAUACUGGGGAAUGGCUUCAAAAUCAGAUCAGCUCACUUUGUGGAGUGGUUUUAUCUCUUCAUAAAACCUCUUAAAACUCUUCAGUGAUGCUUCAUGAAGUCCCUAAGAUUUUCGAGUGAUUUUGGAAAUGUGAUCUUGCUGAUUGGUCUUCAUCUCUUUGUUUUUCAUGUAUUUUGUUCUUGUGGUUGAUUCAAAUGGAUAAAUGCUCAAGUUUGCUAUGAUUAGCAUUAUAAGGCCAGAUAGUAUUAUUUUUCUUAGGAUGCUAUUUGUUGGUGGUAUCAAAAACCCUGUAUGAUGUGGGAAAUCCAAAUUCUUGAUACAAUGGAUUCUGGGCUUGAUAACAAUGCCUUUUAUUUUACCUGAUAUGUUUGGAGUAAUGUCUCUAGCUGCGUAUAGAAAAUUGUAUGGGUGUGUGGGUUUCUGUCGGAGAGAUGAGGGUUGGGAUUCCUACUUCAAUGGAUCUUUGGAACUGUUGAAACUUGGUUGGUGGUAGAGUAUCUUUCGGUCUUUAUGUUGUCUAGUGCAUGGGAUGUAUGAAAUAUUUUGGAGGAUGUGAAGAAAUUAUAUUAAUUAGCUUUUUUUUUUUUUGCUGUGAUAAAAUAAAAUUGGAUUGAUUCUCGUUUAGUCAUUUGAUCACCAGGGGUA